UAGUGUUGCUGGGUUCCUGGCGCAGCCUCUUGAAGGAAUUCCAGGGCACCCACCGACGGAUCUACAUAUACUCACAAGCACGCAUACGCCAACAGACAGGCAGCAGCCACUGCAGCCCGCCGCAUUGCUUACAACCCGCCCCCCUCCCCUGUUGCAAGCACACACAUACACACACACACACACACACAGACAAUCUUGCAGACCUUGCUUGCGUUUUUGGGCGGAUCCAAGGCUUGGAUCAGCUGUACACGAGAUACGGUGUAAAGACGGCGAAGCGAAGACACGUGCGCAUCGAACAAGCCAGCACCGAGAAGCAAGGGCAUACGAGCCGGUCAGUGAAGCAGCUACGCCUGGACCACGAAUCGCUGUGAAGGCUUGCGAGUGCGUUCACGUUGGUGCGCCUGUGUGCGUGUGUGCCCGUCGUCGACUCGCUGCGUUCUUUCCCUGGCUUCUUUUGUUGCGCCGAAGGCUUCUCUCUGUUUCUGUUAGUGCGCGCGUGCCUUGAAAGCGUGCUCAUCUUCCCGUUUUUCAUCUGCGCGCGCGCGUGCGUGCACAACUCUGCUCUUCCACCAUUUUGUGCCCUUUUUUUUCCGUUUUACUCCUCCUCCGUUUUUUUCUCCUUUUUUUUUGUGUUUCGCUUUUCGCGGACUUCCAAGGUGACGGGGCCUCCACAAACACCCGCGCACAUCCACACGCGUCAACCAAGAAAGAGGUAGAGGCAUACGCACACACACACGCACGCACACACAGAGGUAUACAUACAUACACACACGCAUAUAUAUAUAUAUAUAUAUCUUUGUGUACGCAUGUAUGUGUGUACGUGUACAUCUUGGCAUUGAUAAUUUUUCUUCCUCCUGCGUGCUGUUUGUGUUUUCUUUAUCUUCUCGCGCUCCUCCCUUUGCAUUGGCCUGCGCCGGCUUGCCUUGCGUUUAUGUGCGUAAGCGCGGUGGUGUCUUGUGCUAGUUCAUCUGCUUCCGUGUACACCCGUGCGUGAGUGUGGGUGUGCGUGUGCGUGUUGGGGAAGGCGUUGCUUGCUGGGGCACUGCGUCGUUGGCCUUCUUAUGCUGUCUCUCUUUGACUCCGGCGUCGAUAUUUUGCCAUCACGAUCACCCACUCCUUUUUCCUUCUUUUCUGAAUACAG
rnacentral:misc_RNA from 1 species